rnacentral:tRNA from 1 species
GGCCGCCUGGCGAAAUGGCAUCGCGUCUGACUACGAUUCGUUCGACAUCAGGAGAUUGCAGGUUCGACCCCUGCGGUGGUCA